AUUGAACGCUGGCGGCAGGCUUAACACAUGCAAGUCGAGCGAGCGGCGGACGGGUGAGUACUGUCUGGGAAACUGACUGAUGGAGGGGGAUAACUACUGGAAACGGUAGCUAAUACCGCAUCCCAUCAGAUGUGCCCCGAUGGGAUUAGCUAGUAGGUGGGGUAAUGGCUCACCUAGGCGACGAUCCCUAGCUGGUCUGAGAGGAUGACCAGCCACACUGGAACUGAGACACGGUCCAGACUCCUACGGGAGGCAGCAGUGGGGAAUAUUGCACAAUGGGCGCAAGCCUGAUGCAGCCAUGCCGCGUGUGUGAAGAAGGCCUUCGGGUUGUAAAGCACUUUCAGCGAGGAGGCGUGACUCGCAGAAGAAGCACCGGCUAACUCCGUGCCAGCCGCCGCGGUAAUUC
rnacentral:rRNA from 1 species